AGUGAACGCUGGCGGUAGGCCUAACACAUGCAAGUCGAACGGCAGCACAGUAAGAGCUUGCUCUUACGGGUGGCGAGUGGCGGACGGGUGAGGAAUACAUCGGAAUCUACUUUUUCGUGGGGGAUAACGUAGGGAAACUUACGCUAAUACCGCAUACGACCUACGGGUGAAAGCAGGGGAUCUUCGGACCUUGCGCGAUUGUAUGAGCCGAUGUCGGAUUAGCUAGUUGGCGGGGUAAAGGCCCACCAAGGCGACGAUCCGUAGCUGGUCUGAGAGGAUGAGCAGCCACACUGGAACUGAGACACGGUCCAGACUCCUACGGGAGGCAGCAGUGGGGAAUAUUGGACAAUGGGCGCAAGCCUGAUCCAGCCAUACCGCGUGGGUGAAGAAGGACUUCGGGUUGUAAAGCCCUUUUGUUGGGAAAGAAAAGCAGCAGGUUAAUAACCCGAUGUUCUGACGGUACCCAAAGAAUAAGCACCGGCUAACUUCGUG
rnacentral:rRNA from 1 species